CCUACGGGAGGCAGCAGUAGGGAAUCUUCCACAAUGGGCGCAAGCCUGAUGGAGCAACACCGCGUGAGUGAAGAAGGGUUUAGGCUCGUAAAGCUCUGUUGUUGGAGAAGAACGUGCGUGAGAGUAACUGUUCAUGCAGUGACGGUAUCCAACAAGAAAGUCACGGCCAACUACGUGCCAGCCGCCGCGGUAAAACGUAGGUGGCAAGCGUUAUCCGGUUUGAUUGGGCGUAAAGGGAGCGCAGGCGGUUGCUUAGGUCUGAUGUGAAAGCCUUCGGCUUAACCGAGGAAGUGCAUCGGAAACUGUGCGACUUGAGUGCGGAAGAGGACAGUGGAACGCGAUGUGUAGCGGUGGAAUGCGUAGAUAUAGGGAAGAACACCGGUGGCGAAGGCGGCUGUCUGGUCUGCAACUGACGCUGAGGCACGAAAGCAUGGGUAUCGAACAGGAUUAGAUACCCUUGUAGUC
rnacentral:rRNA from 1 species